AGCUCCAAUAGCGUAUAUUAAAGUUGUUGCAGUUAAAAAGCUCGUAGUUGGAUUUCUGAUAGAGGGUUAAGGCCCACUUGUGUGGUGCCGCAAUCCUUUGCCAUCCUUCUGUUAACCUUAGCGUCAUUUAACCGUCGCUUUGGGGCUCAGAUAUUUUACCUUGAGAAAAUUAGAGUGUUUCAGGCAGGCUAGUGCCCGGAUACAUUAGCAUGGAAUAACGGAAUAGGACUUUAGCCUCUUCUGUUGGUCUGAGGGGUUGAAGUAAUGAUUAAUAGGGAUAGUUGGGGGCAUUAGUACUUAACUGUCAGAGGUGAAAGUCUCGGAUUUGUUAAAGACUAACCUAUGCGAAAGCAUUUGCCAAGGAGGUUU
rnacentral:rRNA from 1 species